UACAGAGGUCUCAAGCGUUGUUCGGAUUCAUUGGGCGUAAAGGGUGCGUAGGCGGCGCGGUAAGUCGGGUGUGAAAUCUUGGAGCUUAACUCCGAAACUGCAUUCGAUACUGCCGUGCUUGAGGACUGGAGAGGAGACUGGAAUUUACGGUGUAGCGGUGAAAUGCGUAGAUAUUGGGAGGAACACCGGUGGCGAAGGCGGCUCUCUGGACCGGUACUGACGCUGAGACGCGAAAGCUAGGGGAGCAAACGGG
rnacentral:rRNA from 1 species